GAUGAAGAACGUAGCGAAACGCGAUAAGUAAUGUGAAUUGCAGAAUCCAGUGAAUCAUCGAAUCUUUGAACGCACAUUGCGCCCGCCAGCAUUCUGGCGGGCAUGCCUGUUCAAGCGUCAUUUCAACCCUCGACCUCCCCUUGGGGAGGUCGGCGUUGGGGACCGGCAGCACACCGCCGGCCCUGAAAUGGAGUGGCGGCCCGUCCGCGGCGACCUCUGCGCAGUAAUACAGCUCGCACCGGGACCCCGACGCGGCCACGCCGUAAAACACCCAACUUCUGAACGUUGACCUCGAAUCAGGUAGGACUACCCGCUGAACUUAAGCAUAUCAAUAAGCGGAGGA
rnacentral:misc_RNA from 1 species